GACGAACGCUGGCGGCGUGCUUAACACAUGCAAGUCGAACGGAAAGGCCCUGCUUUUGUGGGGUGCUCGAGUGGCGAACGGGUGAGUAACACGUGAGUAACCUGCCCUUGACUUUGGGAUAACUUCAGGCAACUGGGGCUAAUACCGGAUAGGAGCUCCUGCUGCAUGGUGGGGGUUGGAAAGUUUCGGCGGUUGGGGAUGGACUCGCGGCUUAUCAGCUUGUUGGUUGGGUAGUGGCUUACCAAGGCUUUGACGGGUAGCCGACCUGAGAGGGUGACCGGCCACAUUGGGACUGAGAUACGGCCCAGACUCCUACGGGAGGCAGCAGUGGGGAAUAUUGCACAAUGGGCGGAAGCCUGAUGCAGCAACGCCGCGUGCGGGAUGACGGCCUUCGGGUUGUAAACCGCUUUCGCCUGUGACGAAGCGUGAGUGACGGUAAUGGGUAAAGAAGCACCGGCUAACUACGUG
rnacentral:rRNA from 1 species